AAGAGUUUUGGUAUAAGGUUUUUAUUUGAGAGGUCAGAAAGUCGAAAUCAUAUUCCUCUAGAACUGUUUAACUCUCAUUUGUAAUUAAAUUUAGUUUAUGGGUUAUCUGCUUCCUUUGUAUUUUUAUUCUUUUGACAAAAGCUUCCUUUUUAUAUUAAAAAUCUGUUUUUCCUAUCUUCUAUACAUAUAACAUCAAACUUGGAGAUAAGAUUAGGUUAACCCUUGCGUCAUCAUCAAUCGACUUGAUUUUUCCAAGUUAUCUGCUUCUUUGUCUCAUUUUUGAGAUGACACCCGAACAAUAUAUUAAAAGAAGAUUCUAAGCAGGGAACUAAAUCAUCUCAAUGGACGAAAAUAUUAGACUUACCGGAUAAAUUGACGUGGACAAGUCACCUAUCCUUGCUUCCCUUUUACUUUCAUCUUCACCUGACCAAACUUCGAAUUUCAAUAC
rnacentral:lncRNA from 1 species